AUGAUCCACCCGGGCCGGUUCGGUAAGAGGGACCAUGUGAUCUCCUGCGAUGACACCAAGGACGGGAAGAACCCCUGCGUCGCCACCUGCGACAAGCGCUGCCCCAACGAGUGCAUCGUUAUGUGCCCAGGUUGCAAGACCUACUGCUUGUGCGACUUCUACCCCGGCAUGUCGUGCGGGGACCCACGCUUCACUGGUGCCGACGGCAACAACUUCUACUUCCACGGCAAGAAGGAUCAGGACUUCUGUGUCCUCUCCGAUGCCGACCUCCACAUCAACGCUCAUUUCAUCGGCAAGCGCAACCCCACCAUGAGCCGUGACUUCACCUGGAUCCAGGCUCUAGGCAUCCGCUUCGCCGACCAUCAGCUGUAUAUGGGUGCCCAGAAGACCAUUGAGUGGAACAACGACAUUGACCGCCUAGAGAUGGCCUUCGACGGAGCAUCUAUUGAAAUCCCUGCCAACCUUGGUGCCAAAUGGGAGUCUGACAUCAUUCCAGGGUUGACCGUCACUAGGACUGCUGUCACCAACGGUGUGAGGGUGCAGCUCCAGGGAGUGUUCGAUAUCAUGGCUAAAGUUCUGCCCAUCACUGAGGAGGACUCCCGCAUCCAUAAUUAUGGUGUGACCAAGGAUGACAGCCUUGCACAUUUGGACAUCGGGUUCAAGUUCAACAACCUUACUGACGAUGUCCACGGCGUGCUAGGGCAGACCUAUCGCUCCGAUUACGUCAACAAGCUUAGCAUGACUGCUAACAUGCCGGUCAUGGGUGGUGCUACUAGGUAUGUCUCCUCUGGCAUCUUUGCCACUGACUGCGAAGUGGCAAGGUUUGGCCACCAUGUUGGCAUCUCCAUGGUUACUGCUCAGGCUAACUAA
rnacentral:rRNA from 1 species